AGGACCUUGGGUAUUUAUAUCGAGAAUCCUAGUGGCGAACGGGUGAGUAACGCGUUGGUAAUCUGCCCCAAAGAAUGGGAUAACAGUUAGAAAUGACUGCUAAUACCAUAUGUGAUCAUAAUGAUUAGAUGCUUUAUGAUUAAAGGAGUAAUCCGCUUUGGGAGGAGCCUGCGUCCCAUCAGCUAGUUGGUAAGGUAAUGGCUUACCAAGGCUAUGACGGGUAGGGGGCCUGAGAGGGUGGCCCCCCACAAUGGUACUGAAACACGGACCAUACACC
rnacentral:rRNA from 1 species